GAAAAAGUGCUGAUGGGAAGAAGUACGGAAUUCUAGGUUUAUAGAGAGAGUCGCCAAGGCUGGAAGCGACUUAGCUGAACACUCCUGAAAUGCCUCCCUGAAUUCUGAUGGGAAAUUUAGUAUCGUCAGACGAAAUGUGGGUCGUUACCCCCACCCCUAGAGUUGGAGUAUCUGCUAAAUUUGGCAAUACUCAAGUCAGAGUGGAACCGCGCAAAGCGUCUCUGUA
rnacentral:ncRNA from 3 species